UUUUUUUUUUUUUUUUUAAUUUACUAAUAUAGUAGUAUUUUAUUCACAUAUCCUUUUUUUCAUUACAACAAAAAGAAAAAGAUUCUUAUGGGUAAAAAGAAGAGUAUUUUUAUAGGUUGGUUCAUGAUUGAGUAUUGUCUUUCCGUUCCCUAUAAAUUUUGAAUUGUUAUCCCUUUGUGAAAUUGUAUUGUUUUUUUCUAUUUAAAAUUGAAAAGGUAAAAUCUGAAAAUUUUUACUCUUAUUAUUAUUAUCUCAGAAAUAAGAAAGAAAUAAUCACGAAUGUUUAAAAUUGAAUACUUUCUAAUGAUUGAAUACUUUCUAAU
rnacentral:misc_RNA from 1 species